rnacentral:rRNA from 1 species
AUGGGAACGCGAAGAACCUUACCUAGACUUGACAUCCCCUGAAUAACGUAGAGAUACGCGAAGCCCUUCGGGGCAGGGAGACAGGUGGUGCAUGGUUGUCGUCAGCUCGUGUCGUGAGAUGUUGGGUUAAGUCCCGCAACGAGCGCAACCCUUAUCAUUAGUUGCUACCAUUUAGUUGAGCACUCUAGUGAGACUGCCCGGGUUAACCGGGAGGAAGGCGGGGAUGACGUCAAAUCAUCAUGCCCCUUAUGUCUAGGGCAACACACGUGCUACAAUGGUGAGUACAGAUAGAUGCGAUACCGCAAGGUGGAGCCAAACUCUAAAACUCAUCCCAGUUCGGAUUGUAGGCUGCAACUCGCCUACAUGAAGUUGGAGUUGCUAGUAAUCGCGAAUCAGAAUGUCGCGGUGAAUACGUUCCCGGG